UUUCGGUUUUCCCUUCAGGGUAAAGUUCUGUUUAGUCUUCCAUCAACACAUUUACUUUUCCGCCUGACUCGGCGCGCGUGCGCAGUGCCACCCGGCCCAGGCUGCUCCUGAAAUGUAAGCGUGUUGAACCCGGGGAGGGAAGCUGGACGGCCGUCCUGCAGGAGGCGUGCGGCGUGGACGCUCUGGCCCAGCGGGGAAGGACGCGGACUGGCACGUGGUGGCACGGCCGUUCAAACCCCGGACGCACUGGGAGGCUGAGCCCGGGCUACCGGAGAGGUCCCCCAAGCUGGGGGCCGCAGCCCCCGGCGCGCGCCAAGUUGCCGGGGCGCUUCCAGUCCUGCACUUCCGCGUGCGCUUCUAAAGCCCGGGCUGCCGAACCUUCCAGAAUUUGGAUCCUUAGAAAGAUCCAUCCAGUCGGAUCUUUAACAACAGACACCCCCCACCCCCCCACCCCCCAAAAAAGACACUUCUCCGGGCUGUCUCGCGUUUCACUGACUCGAAAUGUGUUUCUGCAGGACAGUCGAGCAGUAGUUUACGCGUAAUUUGACUCAGCAAUUUCACCAUCCGGACGUUAUCCUACCGGGCAUCCAUCAGUACCAGGAUUUGCGUUCAAGAAGGUUCCUGACUAUAUAUUUAUUAUAAAUACAGUGAGAAUUGACAAAAUAAACAAUGGAGAUUCCCUAAGUGCUCCACAAGCGUUUAAGAAAUAACUGUGUGCCGGGCACAGGAGUCCGUGUUCUCUCUGAUAAGCACUAAGGAACCAGCAAUGUUAAACACACAGGGUUGUUUAUCUCUUCAAUGAGAGUGAUGUAUAACCUAUUUCCACCUAGCAGCCUGGCGACCUUUAUCAUUAGUGUGUUUUUCUCAAUCUGUAGAAACAAGUUUUGUCUGUUUGUUUUUGUUUUUUCAAGACAGGGUUUGUUGUGUAACAGCCCUGGCUGUCCUGGCAUUCACGCCACCAUAGACCAGUCUGCUUCCCAAGUGCUGGGAGUAAGGGCCUUCACCGCUAUAGAAACUGUCUUUACGGAAGAUGUCACAUGUACUUUACAAAGAGUUUCAGUGUAGUUGUGUCUUAAACUUUGCUGUGCACACAUUUUUGAGUUAAUUGUGCACCUAGGAUUAAGUUAAUUAUCACCAGGAAAGUUUUCACCAAAUUGUGCUGUGCUUAAACGUGCCUACAAUAAACUCCUUGGUGUCAGACUCUCAAAGUUUGAACCAGCACUGGGUUA